rnacentral:rRNA from 1 species
GUCCAGACUCCUACGGGAGGCAGCAGUGAGGAAUAUUGGUCAAUGGGUGGAAGCCUGAACCAGCCAAGUCGCGUGAGGGAAGAAGGCCCUGCGGGUCGCAGACCUCUUUGGACGGGGAGCAAGGCCGCCGACGUGUCGGCGGAAGGAGAGUACCCGUAGAACAAGCAUCGGCUAACUCCGUGCCAGCAGCCGCGGUAAUACGGAGGAUGCGAGCGUUAUCCGGAUUUAUUGGGUUUAAAGGGUGCGCAGGCGGCCCGGCAAGCCGGCGGUCAAAUCGCGGGGCUCCACCCCGCCCAGCCGUCGGAACUGCCGGGCUAGAGUGGGCGAGAAGUGCGCGGCAUGCGUGGUGUCGCGGUGAAAUGCGUAGAUAUCUCGCAGAACUCCGAUUGCGCUGGCAGCGCACCGGCGCCCUACUGACGCUCAGGCACGGAGGCGUGGGUAUCGAACAGGCUUAGAUACCCGCGUAA